rnacentral:rRNA from 1 species
CUGAGGGUCCACCUGUUCCCAUACCGAACACAGAAGUUAAGCUCAGUGGUGCCGAAAAUACUUGGCUGGUGACGGCCCGGGAAGAUAGGG